CUCAGCAUAUUGGAAACUUAGUAUGUAAGUAGCAACUAGAAGGAAUCAGCACAAGGAUGGUUCUUGGGAUGCCAGUAAUGUUCUGUUGAUUAAUGUGGGUCCUAGUUACACUGUGUUUGAAGGCAGUCCUCCAUGAGUGACUUCUACGCAUCUUCCAAAGUAUGUCAAUAUUAGAUAGGCCCUGAGCUGUGAAGAGAGGCUCUACCCACCUCAAGAAAAUUUAGAGAUGCAAGUCAACAGUGAACAUGAAAUGAGAGGAUAGGUCAUAGCUGUUGUAGCUACGUCAUUAGAGUAAUACCUAGUUCACCUGGGCCAUACAGAUAUGAGACAUAAUAUUUAGUAAGAAGGAAGGACAGCAGGUGGACUCCCUUAUGGCUCAACCUCUCUUGUAGAUUUUCACACCAAUCUUAGAUCCAUUCUGCAAUGACAACAAAAACUCUCAAAGUUGUCAACGUUGAAUCUUGGCUGCUAUGAGGGAGCUUUGACUGAUUGAGAUUUUCAUGACAUGGGCAAAUUUCUAUGGGAAGCAAAAGAGGAAGCACUAACCUCCCUUAAUGUCCCUAACUUUUCCUCUAGUACUGAUGAAAAUGACUUUUAUGUGUGCAUCUCUGUGUGUGAGUGUGUGUGUGAAUAUAUUUGUGUCCCCAGAUCCUGAUUCCUUUCUCUACUCUGAACUUACCUGUUCUAAAGGAAAAUAUCUGUUAUCUCUCUGUCUCCCAUAGUGAGGCUGAAACUUCACACAGUGCCAUCAGGUGUUCUGGGAACUCCAGAGAAAGAGAUAGGGGGAUACAAAUUUUCAUGACUGGUGGAAUCAAGUGCUCAAAUUACUAUGUUACCUGGUUCCAUAGGACAAAAGGGCACCCAGUCUCAAUAGAUGGGUCUUGAAAGGGGCCCAUAGUAAGGAAAGAAAGUUAAAUUGACUAUUAACCAAUAAAUGUAUUUCUUUUGAAAUGUGUGCUGCGUGCAGACCUUGCAAGUCACCAACCUAAUAUCCAUAUUUUGUGGUGGGUCACUUUAGAUCCUACAAAAAACAACGUGGGUUCUCCGAUCUUUGCUUGCCAAGUAGAAAUUGUAUUUUCAAGAGAGCAGCUGACUUGGCAGCAUUUUAAAUUUACAUUAAAAAAUGAAAGCUACCCCUUUGGGGAAGCCUCGUCUAUCUCUUUACUGCCUCAAGCAAAACUGCUGGCUCAGUGAGGCUUACCAUUCACAGAAAUUUCCCUAAAUCCCUGGACCUGGUUCACUGAUUGCUCAUCUGUGUUGAAAUACGAUGGUGUGCAUUGUACUGCUAUGGAAAACCAUCUGUGCAAAAUCAGCACCCGUUAUGUAAAACCAAAAGCCAAUGUGGUAUCUUCACUCAUUUGGCAGAAGUUAAAAAAGUGUUCAUAGCCAGGGCAAUACGUUCCUUGAUGAACCUUGAGAUGUUUUUAUUAUUUCUUGGGUUCUUGCCUAUAGCCUAGCUGUCUGGUAUGCCACUUGUGAAACUAUAGACUAGCAGAUUAAAGGCUUUUCUCCUUGAAGCUCUGAACUGUAGGAAAAAAAAAAAAAAUGUGUGCUGCCAAUCAGAAAGUCUGGGUUACAAAUAGACAGAUACCCAUGGUAGGGACACGUUCUCUAAUGAAAUCAAAUGGAAUCAAGCUUCCCUCCAACUAAAGAAAUUCCAGUUGGGGAACCCCGGUAACCAUCAAAGACACUUUCAUUCUGGAGCCACCAUGUGUACCACCAGGACUACACUUUUCGAGUAUACUUUGUACCUGGAACAGACUUUCCUGCUCCCAAAGCCACAGUAGAUUGCACAUUAUUGUGGCCAUAAGAGACUUUCACAUUUUAAACAAAUUCCUACCACCAUCCCUAAGACACUUCUACAGUUCUUGCCAACACAAGGUGACCCUUAGCUACUUGAGGAAACUCCCUGAAGUGAUAACUGACUCAUUAUUUAUGCACACUCUGUGGGAGUUUAUUGCUAUGAUAGGGUCAUCCAGUUAGAAAAAUUAGUAAGGAUUUUUUUCCCUGACAUUAAGUUACAUUAUCAAUGACACCACCUUGGCCUUGGAAGACAUUCUGCUCAGCCUAAUUCACUAGCCAGAGUGGUUAUGGAUCAUAGACUUACCCCACACCUCACCCUUGCAGGUCAAGGCAGAGUCAAUGUAAUCAAUAAUAAAUUCUGAUGUACCUGGAUUAUUGCCUUGGGGCAAAUGGAAGGUCAAAAUACAGAUAUAAGGAGAAAGCCUCCUGGUUUUCUAAGGUAACUCAAUGAUUUAUGUGAGUUUUUUUUUUUUUUUUUUUUUUUUUCCUUUUCCCAGUCCAAUUACUCAUGGGAUCCUGGAGGGCAUGGUUCAGGAAAAUACUCUUUGUUGGUGAUAUAGACUGAAUAUCGGUACACCCCCAAAUUCAUAUAAAUUGAAAUCCUAUGCUCAAUGUGAUAGUAUUAGGAGGUGAGUAGUCAUGAAUGAGAUUAAUUCCCUUAUGUGAAAGGGAGGCCCUCACCUGACAGUGCUGGUAUCCUGCAUCCUCCAGAACUGUAAGAAAUAAAUUUCUGUUGCUUAUAAGCUACUGAGGCUGUGGCAUUUUGUUAUUCUAGCCAGGACAGGUUAAGACAGGUGGCUCUUGGAGUUCUGUUGAUAAAAGCCCUGGUUAGUCCACGGAGCAGCUUACUAAUGUGAAAAAUUUCCAGAGAUCAAGACAGUGUAUGGCUUGUAUGAGCUACCGGAAGUCUACCGUGAACUUCCUAUGCUCGUAUAGGUCUUGUGGUGUAUAUUGGGAUCAUAACUCCUGAUUGCAUCAUAACCUGGGCCAUUUUUCAAGAAUAUUUCUACAAAUUAAGUUUCGGAGAGAUAAAGUAAUGCCUCUUUCUAUAUGGAGAGUAGGCUUGCUUCCUGCAUGUCAUAGUAUCAGUAGGUCUCCUAUGCUCAGAGUUGCUCUCUUAUGGUACGGCCCAGUGCACAUACCCCGUUUGGUUGGCCAUUUAUGUUACCCCAUGGGACUUAAAAUUUAGGGAUCCAGAGCAACUGUGCUGAACUGAUAUGAUCACUCUCUUUUUAAAAUUUAUUUUUUUGAAGUAGAGUUGGUUUACAAUAUAAUGUUAAUUUCUGAUGUAUGGCAAAGUGAUUCCUAUAUAUGUGUGUGUAUGUGUGUGUGUGUGUGUAUACACACAUAUAUAUACACACAUAUAUUUUCUCAUAUUCUUUUCCAUUAUUGUUUAUCAGAGUAUAUUGAAUAUACUUCUCUGUGCUGUACAGUAGGGCCCUGCUUUUUAUAUAUUCUAUGUAUACUAGUUUAUAUCUGCUAAUCUCAAACUCCCAACCCUUCCUUCUCCCCCUACCCCUUCUCCCCCUUGGCAACUAUGAGUUGUCUGUGAGUCUGUUUCUGCUUUGUAGAUAAGUUCAUUUGUUUCAAUUUUAGAUUCCACAUAUAUUUAAUGUCAUAUAGUACUUGUCUUUCUCUUUCUGAUUUAACUUAUUGAUCCAGGAAUCUGGCAUCUUAGCAUCAGUGUAGCCAUGUCUGGGUUAUGCUUUAGCAUUUAAAUAAGGCAAAAUCAAUUCCCUUGCACACAUGUGUUACUCGUUUGAAAAUCAUCAAUCUCCUACACUAUCUACAUAUUUCUAUGUAUUCAUAUACAAUAAACAAUUUAUAAAAUUUAAAACUAAAUCAAUUAUAUAGGUUAUUUAGGAUAAAAUGAGACGAAAUUAACUAUGUGAUUUAGAUUAUUAUAGUUCAGUGUUUAAAAACAGUUUCAGAUUUUAAUCCUCCCAGAAAGGAGAAAAGAACUAGUAGUUAUGAGAUCUUAUGACAGAUUCUAUCUCAUCAGUUCACCUUCUAUUGUAUUAAAUUCCAUACAUACAUUUUCUUUACAAAAUGAAGACUGAAUUUCUCAUCUUAUUAAAUGUAUUAACUUGUCAUAAGAGAAAAAAGAUAUGAUGAAAACAAAAUGACCUUAAAUAACAUUGCCCAGAUAAUACAUACAGAUAAAUAUCUACAGACAUAUAUAAGUGAAGCUCCCUUCUUCAAAGCAGAGUAAAAUUACUUUACUCUUUUAAAAACAACUAAUAUACCUAAAUUUAAAGUUUUACAGCACUUACUAUGUGUUGUUUACACUAAAACAUAUUCCUCACUUGCAUAUUGUGUAUGUCACUUUAUUUAUUAUUUUUAUCCUUUGUAUUAUUUACCUACUACUUUUAAACUAAAUCUCUAAUAAUGUCAGCCUGUAUCACAUUACAUCUGACUCGAAACAUGUUAAUUCACUUUAAUUUGUGUCAAUAUGCUGCUUCUCAAGUGCAAAAGAAAAGUGAAACUAUACACAUAGUAGAGAACAAAUAUAAAAUGAAGUUAAGAAAAAUGAUUUUAUUUGCAAUCACAUAAAAAAAGAAUAAAAUAUUUAGAAUAAAUCAAGUACUAUAACAUGCACUCUGAAAACUAAAAUAUGAUUGAAAGAAAUUAAAGACCUAAAUAAAUGGAAAUCCAUCUAUGUCCAUGGAUCUGAAGACUUAAUAUUAUUAAGGUAGUAAUACUCCCCAAAUUAAUCUACAGAUUCAGUGCACUCCCUAUUAGAAUCCCAGCUAGCUUCAUUGUAGAAAUUGAUAAGCCAAUUAUAAAAUUCGUAUUGAAAUUCAAGGGAGGGAGUUCCCAUCGUGGCACAGUGGAAAUGAAUCUGACUAGGAACCACGAGGUUGUGGGUUCAAUCCCUGGCCUCGCUCAGUGGGUUAAGGAUCCGACGUUGCUGUGAGCUGUGGUGUAGGUCACAGACAUGACUCGGAUCCUGCAUUGCAGUGGCUGUGGCAUAGGCCGGCAGCUGUAUCUCCGAUUAGACCCCUAGCCUGGGAACUUCCAUAUGCCGUGGGUGCAGCCCU
rnacentral:lncRNA from 1 species